CCAUACACCGAAACUGCGGGUGCAUCCUUCGGGAUGCGCGGUAGCGGAGCGUUCUGUAAGUCUGCGAAGGGAGACCCGCGAGGGCUCCUGGAGAUAUCAGAAGUGCGAAUGCUGACAUGAGUAACGAUAAAGAGUGUGAGAGACACUCUCGCCGAAAGUCCAAGGGUUCCUGCGCAACGCUAAUCGGCGCAGGGUUAGCCGGCCCCUAAGGCGAGGCCGAAAGGCGUAGUCGAUGGGAAUGCAGUUAAUAUUCUGCAGCUUGUGGGUAGUGACGGAUGCCGUGUGUUGUAUCUCCUUAUUGGAUUGGGGGUGCAGCGAAGGUGUUCCAGGAAAUAGCUCCCACGUAUAAACCGUACCCGAAACCGACACAGGUGGACUGGUAGAGCAUACCAAGGCGCUUGAGAGAACUAUGCUGAAGGAACUCGGCAAAAUGCUCCCGUAAGUUCGCGAGAAGGGAGACCUCAUGGUGGGCAACCACUGUGGGGUGGCACAGACCAGGGGGUGGCGACUGUUUAUCAAAAAACACAGGGCUCUGCGAAGUCGCAAGACGACGUAUAGGGUCUGACGCCUGCCCGGUGCUGGAAGGUUAAGAGGAGGUGUGCAAGCACCGAAUUGAAGCCCCAGUAAACGGCGGCCGUAACUAUAACGGUCCUAAGGUAGCGAAAUUCCUUGUCGGGUAAGUUCCGACCUGCACGAAUGGCGUAACGACUUCCCCGCUGUCUCCAGCAUAGACUCAGUGAAAUUGAAUUCCCCGUGAAGAUGCGGGGUUCCUGCGGUCAGACGGAAAGACCCCGUGCACCUUUACUACAGCUUCACACUGGUAUUCGUCACGACAUGUGUAGGAUAGGUGGUAGACGUUGAAGCCUUGGCGCCAGCUGAGGUGGAGUCACCCUUGAAAUACCACCCUUGUCGUCAUGGAUAUCUAACCGCGGUACAACCAUAUCCGGGACCGUGUGUGGCGGGUAGUUUGACUGGGGCGGUCGCCUCCCAAAUGGUAACGGAGGCGCGCGAAGGUGGGCUCAGAGCGGUCGGAAAUCGCUCGUUGAGUGCAAUGGCAUAAGCCUGCCUGACUGCGAGACUGACAAGUCGAGCAGAGACGAAAGUCGGCCAUAGUGAUCCGGUGGUCCCUCGUGGAAGGGCCAUCGCUCAACGGAUAAAAGGUACGCCGGGGAUAACAGGC
rnacentral:rRNA from 1 species